GACGAACGCUGGCGGCGUGCUUAACACAUGCAAGUCGAACGAAGUGGCGAACGGGUGAGUAACGCGUAAUCAACCUGCCCUUCAGAGGGGGACAACAGUUGGAAACGACUGCUAAUACCGCAUACUGAAGGUGGGGCUUGCGUCUGCUUCGCUAGUUGGCGGGGUAACGGCCCACCAAGGCGAUGAUCAGUAGCCGGGCUGAGAGGAUGAACGGCCACAUGGGGACUGAGACACGGCCCAGACUCCUACGGGAGGCAGCAGGGGGGAAUCUUCCGCAAUGGACGAAAGUCUGACGGAGCAACGCCGCGUGAGUGAGGACGGCCUUCGGGUUGUAAAGCUCUGUUAAUCGGGACGCGGUACCGGAAUAGAAAGCCACGGCUAACUACGUGCCAGCCGCCGCGGUAAUAC
rnacentral:rRNA from 1 species